rfam:Deltaproteobacteria bacterium GWD2_55_8 gwd2_scaffold_3507, whole genome shotgun sequence.
ACCUUAUUCAGAGUGGUGGAGGGAUUGGCCCUUCGAAGCCACAGCAACCGGUCCCGUCGAUAAGAUGGGGCGCUGGUGCUAAUUCCCACUCCCAGCAAUUAGCGGCUGGGGGAAAGAUAAGGU